rnacentral:rRNA from 1 species
UACGGAGGGUGCGAACGUUAAUCGGAAUCACUGGGCGUAAAGCGCGCGUAGGCGGUCUGUUAAGUGGGAUGUGAAAUCCCCGGGCUUAACCUGGGAAUUGCAUUUCAAACUGGCCGACUAGAGUACGGUAGAGGGAGGUAGAAUUUCCUGUGUAGCGGUGAAAUGCGUAGAUAUAGGAAGGAAUACCUGUGGCGAAAGCGGCUCACUGGACCAUAACUGACGCUGAUGCACGAAAGCUGGGGGAGCAAACAGG